rnacentral:rRNA from 1 species
UACGUAGGGCGCAAGCGUUGUCCGGAUUCACUGGGUGUAAAGGGUGCGCAGGCGGGAAAGUAAGUUAGAGGUGAAAUCUCACAGCUCAACUGUGAAACGGCCUUUGAUACUGCUUUUCUUGAGUUAGGGAGAGGUUGAUGGAAUUCCAGGUGUAGCGGUGAAAUGCGUAGAUAUUCGCAAGAACACCAGUGGCGAAGGCGGCUCACUGGCCCGAUACUGACGCUGAGGCACGAAAGCGUGGGGAGCAAACAGG